CCUACGGGAGGCAGCAGUGGGGAAUAUUGCACAAUGGGCGCAAGCCUGAUGCAGCCAUGCCGCGUGUGUGAAGAAGGCCUUCGGGUUGUAAAGCACUUUCAGCGGGGAGGAAGGCGGUGAGGUUAAUAACCUCAUCGAUUGACGUUACCCGCAGAAGAAGCACCGGCUAACUCCGUGCCAGCAGCCGCGGUAAUACGGAGGGUGCAAGCGUUAAUCGGAAUUACUGGGCGUAAAGCGCACGCAGGCGGUCUGUCGAGUCGGAUGUGAAAUCCCCGGGCUCAACCUGGGAACUGCAUUCGAAACUGGCAGGCUAGAGUCUUGUAGAGGGGGGUAGAAUUCCAGGUGUAGCGGUGAAAUGCGUAGAGAUCUGGAGGAAUACCGGUGGCGAAGGCGGCCCCCUGGACAAAGACUGACGCUCAGGUGCGAAAGCGUGGGGAGCAAACAGGAUUAGAUACCCCGGUAGUC
rnacentral:rRNA from 1 species